rnacentral:rRNA from 1 species
GAUGAACGCUGGCGGCGUGCCUAAUACAUGCAAGUCGAGCGAACAGACGAGGAGCUUGCUCCUCUGACGUUAGCGGCGGACGGGUGAGUAACACGUGGAUAACCUACCUAUAAGACUGGGAUAACUUCGGGAAACCGGAUCUAAUACCGGAUAAUAUAUUGAACCGCAUGGUUCAAUAGUGAAAGACGGUUUUGCUGUCUCUUAUAGAUGGAUCCGCGCCGCAUUAGCUAGUUGGUAAGGUAACGGCUUACCAAGGCAACGAUGCGUAGCCGACCUGAGAGGGUGAUCAGCCACACUGGAACUGAGACACGGUCCAGACUCCUACGGGAGGCAGCAGUAGGGAAUCUUCCGCAAUGGGCGAAAGCUUGACGGAGCAACGCCGCGUGAGUGAUGAAGGUCUUCGGAUCGUAAAACUCUGUUAUUAGGGAAGAACAAAUGUGUAAGUAACUAUGCACGUCUUGACGGUACCUAAUCAGAAAGCCACGGCUAACUACGUG